GAUGAACGCUAGCGGCAGGCCUAAUACAUGCAAGUCGAGGGGCAGCACGGGUAGCUAUAUCUGGUGGCGACCGGCGCACAGGUGCGUAACACGUAUACAAUUUGCCUUUUACAGGGGAAUAGCCCGGAGAAAUUCGGCUUAAUUCCCCGUGAUAGAUUUACUGGCCUCAGGAGAUUUUGAAAGCGCAGGCGGUACAAGAUGAGUAUGCGCAGGAUUAUCUAGUUGGUAGUGUAAGGGAGUACCAAGGCAACGAUCAUUUGGGGAACUGAGAGGACUACCCCCCCCGCGGGUACUAAGAGACGGACCAGACUCCUACGGGAGGUAGCAGUAAUGAAUAUUGGUCAAUGGAGGCAACUCUGAACCAGCCAUGCCGCGUACAGGAUGAAGGCCCUAUGGGUCGUAAACUGCUUUUAUACGGGAGAAAACCCGAGUACGUGUACUCGGUUGAUAGUACUGUAAGAAUAAGGAUCGGCUAACUUCGUGCCAGCAGCCGCCGUAAUAC
rnacentral:rRNA from 1 species